rnacentral:piRNA from 1 species
UAGAAGUGACCUCCAGGGACAUCAUGUG